UGGGGAAUAUUGCACAAUGGGCGCAAGCCUGAUGCAGCCAUGCUGCGUGUAUGAAGAAGGCCUUCGGGUUGUAAAGUACUUUCAGCGGGGAGGAAGGGAGUAAAGUUAAUACCUUUGCUCAUUGACGUUACCCGCAGAAGAAGCACCGGCUAACUCCGUGCCAGCAGCCGCGGUAAUACGGAGGGUGCAAGCGUUAAUCGGAAUUACUGGGCGUAAAGCGCACGCAGGCGGUUUGUUAAGUCAGAUGUGAAAUCCUCGGGCUCAACCUGGGAACUGCAUCUGAUACUGGCAAGCUUGAGUCUCGUAGAGGGGGGUAGAAUUCCAGGUGUAGCGGUGAAAUGCGUAGAGAUCUGGAGGAAUACCGGUGGCGAAGGCGGCCCCCUGGACGAAGACUGACGCUCAGGUGCGAAAGCGUGGGGAGCAAACAGG
rnacentral:rRNA from 1 species